rnacentral:tRNA from 1 species
GGUUUUGUAGUGUAAGAAACAUAUUGGAUUGCAAAUCUAUGGAUACGGGAGAAUAAGGUCCGUCAAAACUU